rnacentral:rRNA from 1 species
UACAGAGGUCCCAAGCGUUGUUCGGAUUCAUUGGGCGUAAAGGGUGCGUAGGCGGCGCGGUAAGUCGGGUGUGAAAUCUCGGAGCUUAACUCCGAAACUGCAUUCGAUACUGCCGUGCUUGAGGACUGGAGAAGAGACUGGAAUUUACGGUGUAGCGGUGAAAUGCGUAGAUAUCGUAAGGAAGACCAGUGGCGAAGGCGGGUCUCUGGACAGUUCCUGACGCUGAGGCACGAAGGCCAGGGGAGCAAACGGG